UGAAAUUGGACGACCCAGGGCAAAAGGCUUCAACGCGCCGCGGGCUUCAACGCGCGCGAGUCCCAGUACCCCACCCCGCCCGCGCAGGUUCGAAUCCCUCGCUCGCUCGCUCCGUCUUCCUAUUUCGACCAAAAAAAACCCACGCUCCCUCGCUAGGGUUGAGUUCGUCGGUGGCCUGCUCGCACAGCUCCCGCACGCACGCGCGGCCGAGCGCCGCCGGUGGCCUGCUCGCACAGCUCUCGCACGCACGCGUCGGGAGGUCGCGCGCGCGGCCUGGGGAGCCCUGCCGGCGGCCCAAUCGCGUGCCUCCCGCACGCGCCGGGGGAGCUGUCGGCACGGCUGGCGGAGGUCGCGGGUCGGUGGCCGGAGAGGGGCGUACGGCGGCGAUGAGGCGGCCGGAGAGGGGCGUACGGCGGCGAUGAGGCGGCCGGAGAGGGGCGCACCGUGGCGAGGCAGGUCUCACAGCCGUGCCUUCUCCUCCCUCUCCUCUCUCCGUCUCCACUCCUCUCUCCAUCCCUCUCCUCUCGCGUCUCCCCCUCUCUCUCCCCUCCGAAUCCGGCGACCGGCGAGGCGAGAGCACGGCGGCCGGCGGCCGGUUCCGGGGGCCGGCGGCGUUGCUACGACGCGGCCGCCGAUGCGCAGAUCUGCCUCCGGGCGGGGCCGCUGGCAGCACGACGAUGAGCAGGGGGCCCCACAAGUCCCAACAUCGGCAAGCUCCCUAGCUUUGGCGCCCACCUCCAGCUCGCCGGAGAUGGUCGGAUUUGGUGGAUCCGGUUCCCCUCUACCUCUCCCGCCCCCUUCUUCUUCCUUAUCCAUGGGAAAAGUUGUUCCUAUGGUUGGAUUGUCUCGCCAGCUUUUGAUGGCGGCGCAGGGAGCGUCCGCGGCGCUCCUUCCUUGGCGGCCGGAGUCGCAGCCGCGGCCGGCCCCGCGGCCCCCCUGGUUGGCUCCUUGGGCGCGGACGCUCAGGCCUCCGCCGUGGCCAACCCUGCAGCCCGUCGCCGUGGCGUAGGUGGUCAGGCCUCGGAAACCUGAAAUGUACAUUGCCCGUGAGUGCAAUGUACACCAUGAUUUCCAUGUGGGUUUACUGGUACUGACUUGUGACUUGCGUGAGAAGCAUUCGAGGUCUUGGAAUCGUCAGACGUAAGCUGACUGAGAGUGGAGAUCCCUUCUCCUUUCUCUAUUCGAUUUUUUUUUCAAUCAAUUAUUUCUUCUUUCUCCUUUCGUUCUGUACAAGAUUCAGGGAUUGGAGUCUGAGCGAGAGCAGCAGGGCCAUUUGAUUCACUGUCAACUCUGUGUGGCCAAGGGUGAGUUGCAAAUGGCGUCUGACUCAUUCAAGAUUGUGUUGGAUGAAGAUGGAAACAAUGUAUCUGAAGCUAAGCUUCCAGAGUAUCCACAGAAGACUGAAGCAUUGCAUGAACAUUUGCAGUUUUGUUAGCGAACACAUCAAAACUUUGGAGGAAAUCGAUGUGGAGUACAAGGAGUUAGCUUUAGAAUCUAGCAUCGAUUCAACAAUUUGCAUGUCAGAUAUUCAUUCAAAUGUCUAACUGAACCUAUGGAACAAGAAUUGAAAUCUUGCCUUUUUCAUUUUAUCAUCUGAUAUCCAGUUUUCUAAGUUAUAGUAUAUCAUUUUUUCUUUAGAGGAGUUCAUUUCCAAGUUAAAGAAAAAAUUGCAGUAGACCCUUUUAUGUUUGGAGGAUACAAGUGUUCAUUUCCAAGUUAAAGAAACGUUGCAUGAGCAUCCCCUGUGUUUGUGGAAAAUGCAAUAUGAACUUUUACAUAGAUUUAAUAUUUGCAUGUCAGGGGCUCAGCAACAAGCAGCAAUCUGCCAAUCUGACAGGUCAUCAGGGGCUCAAGAAUGUCACUUGCCAUUACCGAGAGCAUGGGUGGAGGCCUCCAGGAGAUGCAGUGCUGGCAUGCCCGUGGAGUGGAGGUCGCCGUGGGGACGCAAACGCCAUAUGGAAUGUAGGUUAGCUGUUUGAGGAAAUGCUCGAGGAUCAAUCGGCGAUUGUGCCAACAAGCUUGCAGUUUAUAAUGAUGGAUAUUUGGAUGGUGGCAAAAAAUCUCAUGCUUUCAUUGCUUGCAGAGGAUGUCAAGCACUUGCAUGCUACAAGCAUUUGUCCCUGGUAGCCGUGCUGUCAUCCUGUCACAGUUUGGGUGGUGGUGAUAUGAUGGUAUGCAACCAGGGUAGCCACUAGCCAGCCAUUAUCAAUCCCAAAUACCAUUUGGAGCAGCCAUGCAGCUAGGAGCAAGGUUGCUUCUGCAACAUCAACUAUGAAGUCAGUGUUUUUGCAAGAGGUUCAAAUGCAGGAUAGGAUCCAGCCGCGGCCGGCGGCUCCGCCGCGACAAGGACGAGCUCCCCUCCGACAGCACCUCCGGCUCCGACUUUAUCGCCGACUCCGAGGACCAGGUGGGAGACGACGACGACAAGGGGUUCGCGCCCGAUGAGGACGCCCCGCCCGCGAUGGCUGCGCCGCCACCCCGCCGAUGCUGAUGCCGGUGGGGGGUGCCGAAUCGGGCGCGGAACUGCGCUCCUCCGCUGCACGCGGUGACCCGCCGCUGCAGGCCCUCAACCAGAUCUAGAAUCGGGAGGGGCGGGGGCGGAGAUCCAGGGCGGGGACGCGCCGUGCUGCCUCGCCUGCCCGCGCAGGAGCCGCGUUGCUCACCCGAGCGCGAGCAGCCGCGUGCCCCCACCCCUCCCGACGGCAGCCGUGUGCAGGCCCUCCGCUGGCCGCGGCCCUCCGCUGGCCGCGCGGCCGUGCGCAGGCACAUGGUGCCCCGCCACUGCAGCCGCGCCCUUCUGCUUGCCUGCAUGCACGCCCCGCCGGCCACGCGCCCUGCAGCGUGCGCUCCUCCGGGACUCCCGCAGCUGUGUACACGAUAUGGACGGGCUCAACAAGUACUUCGCCGUCCGGGAGACCGGGACUUCCACAGCUGGGUUUUCAUCUUCUCCGCCGUGGGUGACAUGCUGCUCAAGCUGGGAAGCCGGUGCCUCCGGUUAGUCACAGCCAAAGCAGUAUGCGUGGAGCCGCAUCCCAGCAGGCAAGAUGGGGACUUUUCUCUCUGCGUGAGCACCUGCAGCACAAUGGAACGUAUCUGCUCGUGUGAGAAGGUUUAGGUUGUUUAGGAGAAGAGAAGAACACCAAGCAAGCAGCUAAUUGUUAGGGUAACAGCAAUUAGCUCAUUCACCGCAUCGAGCUUGGCUGGUCAUGUACUAAUUAUUUUUCAAAGGGACAUGCUCUUGUGAACAAGUUAGUGGAAGCAUGCAUCAAACCUCGCAAGCUAUGAGCAACAGGAUGCACAUGAAUUUUUUAUCUCCAUACUUGACCAUAUCCAUGAAAAUAUAAAGGAUGAUCAGCACAAGUCACAUGCCCAAGGCCAUGGGACUGUUACAUUGCCCACAAAGUGUUUUCUGGUGCGCAAUGGGGAACGGGGUUUGGCUGAGAGACUUGAUGCUGAUUAAAAGUUAUGCUGUGAACACUGAGAUGAGAGGCAAGAAUCCCUGAAGCAAACGUCCAUUCGCAGGCUUCCAUUAGUUUCCUGCUUUCACAUAAAGAGAUUUGAGCACUGCUGAGCAAAAGUUCAGUUUCAUUUGAUGAUAUUUAUUGGUAGCCUUUUCACAACCUUGACAAAGACAUAUACAAAGAUGAAGCCAUAUGAAUAUGGAUUCCGUGUGUUAUUGUUGAUAUUCUGUUAUGUUAUGGUCUCACUGGGAAGUUCACUGAUACAGCUACAAGCAGAUUUAUAUUGAUUGCUCUUUGUCUAGCAAUUCUUAAGAUGAUACAUCAAAAUUAAAUGUAUGAUCCCAUAAAGUUGUGAUUUUACUCUAUGCAUAUGGUUGUCCUUUGUGUAAAGCAAAUAUUUUUCAGUUUGAACUAUGGAACAAAUUAUGGAUCA